GACGAACGCUGGCGGCGUGCUUAACACAUGCAAGUCGAACGGAAAGGCCCUGCUUUUGUGGGGUGCUCGAGUGGCGAACGGGUGAGUAACAAGUGAGUAACCUGCCCUUGACUUUGGGAUAACUUCAGGAAACUGGGGCUAAUACCGGCUAGGAGCUCCUGCUGCAUGGUGGGGGUUGGAAAGUUUCGGCGGUUGGGGAUGGACUCGCGGCUUAUCAGCUUGUUGGUGGGGUAGUGGCUUACCAAGGCUUUGACGGGUAGCCGGCCUGAGAGGGUGACCGGCCACAUUGGGACUGAGAUACGGCCCAGACUCCUACGGGAGGCAGCAGUGGGGAAUAUUGCACAAUGGGCGGAAGCCUGAUGCAGCAACGCCGCGUGCGGGAUGACGGCCUUCGGGUUGUAAACCGCUUUCGCCUGUGACGAAGCGUGAGUGACGGUAAUGGGUAAAGAAGCACCGGCUAACUACGUG
rnacentral:rRNA from 1 species